rnacentral:lncRNA from 1 species
UAUUAAACGAGGCGAAAAAUUCAGUUCGUGUUCGCUCGUUUACUAAACAAGCACGAGCCGAAAAAUUCAGCUUGUGUUCGGCUCGUUUACUAAACAAGCGAUUCGAUUUCGAGCUCAUUUCGAGCCGAAUACGAACUGACUUGCAAACGACGAGCUGCGGUUUGUAUCUACCACGCUCACCAUCAUUGACUUAUUAAAAA